rnacentral:rRNA from 1 species
UAGGGAAUCUUCGGCAAUGGGGGGAACCCUGACCGAGCAACGCCGCGUGAGUGAAGAAGGUUUUCGGAUCGUAAAGCUCUGUUGUUAAGGAAGAACGAGUGUGAGAAUGGAAAGUUCAUGCUGUGACGGUACUUAACCAGAAAGGGACGGCUAACUACGUGCCAGCAGCCGCGGUAAUACGUAGGUCCCGAGCGUUGUCCGGAUUUAUUGGGCGUAAAGCGAGCGCAGGCGGUUAGAAAAGUCUGAAGUGAAAGGCAGUGGCUCAACCAUUGUAGGCUUUGGAAACUGUUUAACUUGAGUGCAGAAGGGGAGAGUGGAAUUCCAUGUGUAGCGGUGAAAUGCGUAGAUAUAUGGAGGAACACCGGUGGCGGAGGCGGCUCUCUGGUCUGUAACUGACGCUGAGGCUCGAAAGCGUGGGGAGCGAACAGG